rnacentral:rRNA from 1 species
AGUGAACGCUGGCGGUAGGCCUAACACAUGCAAGUCGAACGGCAGCACAGUAAGAGCUUGCUCUUACGGGUGGCGAGUGGCGGACGGGUGAGGAAUACAUCGGAAUCUACUUUUUCGUGGGGGAUAACGUAGGGAAACUUACGCUAAUACCGCAUACGACCUACGGGUGAAAGCAGGGGAUCUUCGGACCUUGCGCGAUUGAAUGAGCCGAUGUCGGAUUAGCUAGUUGGCGGGGUAAGGGCCCACCAAGGCGACGAUCCGUAGCUGGUCUGAGAGGAUGAUCAGCCACACUGGAACUGAGACACGGUCCAGACUCCUACGGGAGGCAGCAGUGGGGAAUAUUGGACAAUGGGCGCAAGCCUGAUCCAGCCAUAGCGCGUGGGUGAAGAAGGCCUUCGGGUUGUAAAGCCCUUUUGUUGGGAAAGAAAAGCAGCAGGUUAAUACCCCGCUGUUCUGACGGUACCCAAAGAAUAAGCACCGGCUAACUUCGUG